AACGAACGCUGGCGGCAUGCCUAACACAUGCAAGUCGAACGAACCCUUCGGGGUUAGUGGCGCACGGGUGCGUAACGCGUGGGAAUCUGCCCUUUGCUUCGGAAUAACAGUUAGAAAUGACUGCUAAUACCGGAUGAUGUCUUCGGACCAAAGAUUUAUCGGCAAAGGAUGAGCCCGCGUAGGAUUAGGUAGUUGGUGGGGUAAAGGCCUACCAAGCCGACGAUCCUUAGCUGGUCUGAGAGGAUGAUCAGCCACACUGGGACUGAGACACGGCCCAGACUCCUACGGGAGGCAGCAGUGGGGAAUAUUGGACAAUGGACGCAAGUCUGAUCCAGCAAUGCCGCGUGAGUGAUGAAGGCCUUAGGGUUGUAAAGCUCUUUUACCAGGGAUGAUAAUGACAGUACCUGGAGAAUAAGCUCCGGCUAACUCCGUGCCAGCCGCCGCAGUAAUAC
rnacentral:rRNA from 1 species